ACGAUAAGUACAUCUACGAGAUACGAUCCUCAAGGCCGCCGAGGGAGCAACGGACUACCGCCGCCGUCCGAAGCCAUGGAAACCGAUGACGUAGCUUCUGGCAAAGCUUGCCUUGGAUAGCCUUGAAGUCCCAGUUGGGUAAGAAACUGAUUUCAGCAACCAAGUGCAUUUCAGUGUUACUAUAUUUUAUAACUGUGUGAUUGUUGAGGAAGGGAACCUUAUUGCGACAGGAAGAAACAGGACUAAUGAGACACGGAAUGCAACAAGACAUGUGGAAAUGGAAGCUCUUGAUGUUCUCUUUGAAUAGUGGCAGAGGACAAGAUUUUCGUCUGCAGAAGUUGCAGAGAAGUUUUCAGCAUGCUCUCUUUAUGUGACAUGUGAACUAUGCAUAAAGUGUGCAGCAGCAUUAUCGAUCAUUGGUAUAAAGGAAGUAUAUUAUGGCUGUGCAAAUGAUAAAUUUGGAGGCUAUGGCUCAAUACUGUCGAUGCAUUCGAGUAGCUUCGAGGCAUGCAUUAGGUCAGUUUCUAAACUUGCUUUUGUUGCUGAUUCCAUAUCUACUUAGCUCCUCUUUGAAAUUGUGACAUAUGACAAUUGACAACUAAAGCUUACUGGAGGUUUAUGUAUUCUUAUGUUGAUUACUGAUGGGUGUGGUUUCGUUGUAAUUUUGUUUGUUGUCGCACUUUGAAUGUUGCUACAUAUAACCAUGAAAAUAAAUGGAGGUCUAUGGAACUAAUUUUUCACUGCAGCGAGUUUCUUUGAUGUCUUUAAUGUUAUCAAGUUUAAAACGGAAAAUAUAACAUCUUCAAAGAAAUAUGAUUUAACUAUGAGGAAAUAAUGGUUUUUGAUAUGCCAUGGGCAGUGUACUCAUUAAAGAAAUCUCUUUUCUUGUUUAUUAGUUUCAAUUGUCUCUUCUUGCAUACAUGAGGUCAUGUGCUUGCUAAAUUGAGGUGUAUGGCAUGGGUUUCCCAUAUGAUUUUUCAUUUGUCUGAUGCUGCCAUGAUCUAACAUUUCAUGUUUCCUAAGCUUGUCCAGAACUCAUCAAUUUUUACUCAGACUUUGUUGACUUAAAAGUUAAAACAUAGUGAAAUGGGAUCUGUCUCGUUGUGAUUUGAGCAGUACAGACAAUGUCUUUUUGUUGAAUUAUUAGUUUUGAAAGAAGAAGCUCAAGUUCCGGCCCGGGGGGG